UGGGGAAUAUUGGGCAAUGGGCGAAAGCCUGACCCAGCAACGCCGCGUGAAGGAAGAGGCUUUCGGGUUGUAAACUUCUUUGACAGGGGAAGAGUAGAAGACGGUACACUGAAAACAAGCCACGGCUAACUACGUGCCAGCAGCCGCGGUAAUACGAAGGUGGCAAGCGUUGUCCGGAUUUACUGGGUGUAAAGGGCGUGCAGCCGGGAAGGCAAGUCAGAUGUGAAAUCCGUGGGCUUAACCCACGAACUGCAUUUGAAACUGCUUUUCUUGAGUAUCGGAGAGGUAAUCGGAAUUCCUAGUGUAGCGGUGAAAUGCGUAGAUAUUAGGAAGAACACCAGUGGCGAAGGCGGAUUACUGGACGACAACUGACGGUGAGGCGCGAAAGCGUGGGGAGCAAACAGG
rnacentral:rRNA from 2 species